rnacentral:rRNA from 1 species
AGAAUCAACGCUGGCGGCGUGCCUAACACAUGCAAGUCGCACGAGAAAGGGACUUCGGUCCUUAGUACAGUGGCGCACGGGUGAGUAACACGUGAAUCAUCUACCUUCGAGUGGGGAAUAACUGGGAGAAAUCUCAGCUAAUACCGCAUAAUACCUACGGGUCAAAGCAGCAAUGCGCUUGAAGAGGAGUUCGCGGCAGAUUAGUUAGUUGGCGGGGUAAUGGCCCACCAAGACGAUGAUCUGUAUCCGGCCUGAGAGGGCGCACGGACACACUGGAACUGAAACACGGUCCAGACUCCUACGGGAGGCAGCAGUGGGGAAUUUUGCGCAAUGGGGGAAACCCUGACGCAGCAACGCCGCGUGGAGGAUGAAAUAUCUUGGUAUGUAAACUCCUUUCGAUGGGGAAGAUAAUGACGGUACCCAUAGAAGAAGCCCGGCUAACUUCGCGCCAGCAGCCGC